UACGGGGGGAGCAAGCGUUGUUCGGAUUUACUGGGCGUAAAGGGCGCGUAGGCGGCCACUGCAAGUCAGUUGUGAAAUCUCCGGGCUUAACCCGGAAAGGUCAACUGAUACUGCAGGGCUAGAGUGCAGAAGGGGCAACUGGAAUUCUCGGUGUAGCGGUGAAAUGCGUAGAUAUGGGGAGGAACACCGGUGGCGAAGGCGG
rnacentral:rRNA from 1 species